GAUGAACGCUGGCGGCGCGCCUAACACAUGCAAGUCGAACGGCACCCACCCUCGGGUGGAAGCGAGUGGCGAACGGCUGAGUAACACGUGGAGAACCCGCCCCCUCCUCCGGGAUAGCCUCGGGAAACCGUGGGUAAUACCGGAUGACCCCGCAGGGCCGCAUGGCCCCGCGGGCAAAGCCCAGACGGGAGGGGAUGGCUCCGCGGCCCAUCAGGUAGACGGCGGGGUGACGGCCCACCGUGCCGACGACGGGUAGCCGGGUUGAGAGACCGACCGGCCAGAUUGGGACUGAGACACGGCCCAGACUCCUACGGGAGGCAGCAGUGGGGAAUCUUGCGCAAUGGGGGGAACCCUGACGCAGCGACGCCGCGUGCGGGACGAAGGCCCUCGGGUCAUAAACCGCU
rnacentral:rRNA from 1 species